AGAGAAAGGAAACAGGGGGAAACAGGGGGAAACAGCUAGCCAAAGUUGUGGUUUUUCUACGGACUAUUUCUUGGCCGAGUGCAGUGACUUCCCUGUGUAUUCGCUGGUUGCCUGGCAGCCUGAAGGCAAUGACAAAACCUAAAUCCCCGGGACAAUCGUACCGUUCCCGACAUCGGUCAAGGACGUCCUCGCGGGACAGACAACAGCAGGCGUAAAACAGCAAGCGCCGCAGGAGGGAAGAGGCAUGGCCAACAACCCUUGAUGCCGUGGCGUCCCCUGCACACCCGCAGCCGUCCACCGGCCUCCCAGGUCGACGGACGGAGGACCGCUCAUGCCGACACCACUUGGUCCUGGAGCGGGCGCAUGUUUUCAGAAUAGCCGCCGUGCAGUCCAUCGCUGGCUGGCGGUGGGGUUCUGAUUGGUUCAGAAUGGUUCCAUGUAGAGGACGGAGUCAACAAAUCAAAGGGCUGUUUUUGACCCCAAAAACACAAGUCUUUAUCUUCUUUUCGGUCCUGAGCGCCUCCUUCUCCAGAACACACAAAAGGAGAGAAAGAUGAAGGAUGGCUGACGAGAUAAGAGGAGGAAAAGAUUCUUCAGGAGAAAAACUAAAACAAAAAAAAAGAAGUUCUGCCGAAUGACUGCCGUUAAUAAGAAGGAUAGUCAAACAUGCAAAUGCUGUGGUAAAACUACUCAUAUGUUCAGGUACGUUGUUACUUUCAGAGGUGAAAUCCGAAUCCACUUUUUUCCUCUUUUAAGCUCAAACAGAACCUGACGAUGUAAUCCUCCGGUUAUUUGUCCUUUGUAGCCCAAAAAUGCAAUCCAUGCAAUUCAGUCACAGGUCGAGCCUCCUCAAAACCGUGCAAAAAGGAGCAGCCAACUUGUACAAUAAGGAAAGUUUCCAAGAG